ACGCCUCAAGUUGUCAUACCACUGUUAGAAUUUCUCUCUGAUGAUGGAGAUUUGGAUAAACAGGAAAUCGCAUACAUAAAAGGCUUGGUCUUGAAGCUAGAGGAAGAAUUGCAUACUGUAACAUCUUCAUCCUCCAAAUAAUUACACAUCCCGGCAGAUCAAAUUGGUGGUGCAAUACAAAGACAGUUCGCGGACGCCUUGAAAGUUCAUGUUCAACAGCAAGCGAAUGACGGUUGGAAGAGGAAGCAACUGGAUGUUUGGUCAACCAGCAAAGCAGCUGGUGGCGACAAAGGAAACCUAUAAGGGCUUACCAGUGGAACUUCAAAAUCUACAUGUCAUUAAGAAACAUCAGAUGUUUGUUGGAAUCCUCAAAAGUUCUAAACUCUUCGUACAAAAACAGGAACAACGUGAACUACUUGACAAAAAUGGGGAUUGCAAUAGAUUAAUCUUACUGGACCUUUUGAUGGUGCUUCCUUAGAUCGAAAUUCUAAAUCGAGUUUUGGUCUAUGGAACCGACUUGAGACACAAAAAACUAUUUUUGUUGAGCCACGACGAAAAAACGAAUUUACAGAGGCAAUGGAAGGAUUUUAUGAAAACGUUUGCAACCCAGAGAACAAGGGUGCUGUUUCUUGUUGUUUGCUAAAGAAAGACCGAACGUAUGUGUGCCAGGAUCAGGUGACCAGCUGUGCAUUCACCCCCAGGUUCUUGAACAAGAAACACACACGGCCAAGGCAAGUGUAAAUGACUUCAUUGACCGUUGAGGCAUUUGUGCUGUACAAAGGUGUUAUCAUGCAAAGACGUGUCAUUACUAUAAUUUGCUGCAACAAGCGAUAUACCAGUGGAACUUCAAAAUCCACAUGUCAUCAAGAAACAUCAGAUGUUUGUUUGAAUCCUCAAAACAGUACCCGACUCCGCAGUUUUAAAUUCUUCGAACAACGUGAACUACUUGACAAGCCUGGGUAUUGCAAUGGGUCCCUCUGUUCUCCAAUGUACGUCACUUCCGGUGAAAAAGCCACGAAAAAAAGCCAACUUUGAGGCCCGAAUAAACGAAUGCGUCAUCGAAGAAAGAAUGCGUCAACAGCGCGCCAUAAUUAAGCGUUCGACCGCAUCUGAAGCUUUACCUCGAAAGGUCGCAGAGAGUGUAACAAACGAAAACUGCUCACCGAGAAACAUUCUGCGAAAUGGUGCAACAUUGCUAAAGAAGCAAGAGAUCUUAGGUCUCGCCUACAGAAACAAACAUAUAUUACGCAGCACGGUUUUUACCCUGGGUGACACAUUGGACGAGACGAGGCAGCUCGUCGUGAAGAGAAGCGUGGCGUCAUAGAAUUUCACGUCGUUGGGAACUGGCUGCGAGGACAGCUCUCUCAAAAGAAUAUUAUGUGGUUGAUUGGCUUGACAAAAAGUAUUUUCAUAUCAACUAACGCGAAUGCCGAAA
rnacentral:misc_RNA from 1 species